rnacentral:rRNA from 1 species
AUUGAACGCUGGCGGCAGGCCUAACACAUGCAAGUCGAACGCGUGGCGGACGGGUGAGUAAUGUCUGGGAAACUGCCUGAUGGCGGGGGAUAACUACUGGAAACGGUAGCUAAUACCGCAUACCAUCAGCUGUGCCCAGAUGGGAUUAGCUAGUUGGUGGGGUGACGGCUCACCAAGGCGACGAUCCCUAGCUGGUCUGAUAGGAUGACAAGCAGCACUGGAACUGAGACACGGUCGAGACUCCGACGGGAGAGAUCAGUGGGAACUAUUGCGCAAUGGGCGCAAGCCUAGUGCAGCCGUGUCGGGUGUAUGAAGAAGGCCUUCGGGUUGUAAAGUAGUUUCAGCGGGGAGGCAUUACCGGCAGAAGAAGCACAGGCUAACUCCGUGCCGGCAGCCGCGGUAAUAC